rnacentral:ncRNA from 1 species
AAAAAAACGAUGAUUAGGAAAAGUAUCUUUGAUAUUAUUUUUAGAGAGUAGUUGGUUGGUGCGAAGCUAUAAUGAGUCUUAGAGAAAAUCACCUAGGAGUUGGAGACUGAAAGGUAAAGCUACUGAAUAAGUUAUCACGUAAGAGCCUGCGUUAAAGGAUAGAGUAUGUAUGUACUUGAAUUAGAACAUUUAAUUUUACAAUUAAAUGUUUAACCUUAGGUGGUUUGCGAAUUCAACUUCGUCCUGUGG